rnacentral:rRNA from 1 species
UUUAUUGGAGAGUUUGAUCCUGGCUCAGGAUGAACGCUGGCGGCGUGCCUAAUACAUGCAAGUCGAGCGAAUGGAUUGAGAGCUUGCUCUCAAGAAGUUAGCGGCGGACGGGUGAGUAACACGUGGGUAACCUGCCCAUAAGACUGGGAUAACUCCGGGAAACCGGGGCUAAUACCGGAUAACAUUUUGAACCGCAUGGUUCGAAAUUGAAAGGCGGCUUCGGCUGUCACUUAUGGAUGGACCCGCGUCGCAUUAGCCAACUGGUGAGGUAACGGCCCACCAAGGCAACGAUGCGUAGCCGACCUGCGAGGGUGAUCGGCC